rnacentral:sRNA from 1 species
AAGUAGAUGCACCCUGAUAUACGACCUCCACCGUCAUAGGUGGGGGUUUUUUUU